CAUACAUAUCCUGACAUAAAUUUGGUUGGACAUGUACGGAACUGGUGGAGAGAAGGCGAUGCCCUGGAAAUCAUUGAUUCAUCUCUGGGUGAAUCGUACCCUGUCAAUAAAUUGUGAGAUGCAUCCAAACCGCCCUCUUGUGUAUGCACGAAUAUGCCACUGACCGGCCAACAUUGUCCGCGGACGUUUUCAUGCUAGGCAACGAGCUAGGUAGCAGUUCCUUCCCCAAAACAGCUGCAAUUUUAUUGAGGAUGAGUCGUACUACUGGAGCUAAUUCUAUAAAUGAUGUCACAUGUACAGACGUCGAAGGUCGUUAAGCAUCAUAAAUAGAAGCUCUAAAGUUGUGUUAAACUAGCAAGUAAUUAAUGUAUAAAACUAUUUUAACACUAUCUAUUUUAACAAACUUUGAAUGUUUUAA